rnacentral:rRNA from 1 species
CCUACGGGCGGCAGCAGUGAGGAAUAUUGGUCAAUGGGCGCGAGCCUGAACCAGCCAAGUCGCGUGCAGGAUGACUGCCCUACGGGUUGUAAACUUCUUUUGUAAAGGAAUAAACUGAGGCACGUGUGCCUUUCUGUAUGUACUUUAUGAAUAAGGAUCGGCUAACUCCGUGCCAGCAGCCGCGGUAAUACGGAGGAUCCGAGCGUUAUCCGGAUUUAUUGGGUUUAAAGGGAGCGUAGGUGGGUUGGUAAGUCAGUUGUGAAAGUUUGCGGCUUAACCGGGAAACUGCAUUUGAUACUGGCGGUCUUGAGUGCAGUUGAGGUAGGCGGAAUGCGUGGUGUAGCGGUGAAAUGCUUAGAUAUCACGCAGAACCCCGAUUGCGAAGGCAGCUUACCAAACUGCCACUGACAUUGAAGCACGAAAGUGUGGGUAUCAAACAGGAUUAGAUACCCCAGUAGUC